GAGGGGCCGAGGCCCCCGAGGAUCCUUGGGGGGCCGGGCCUCCGCGGUCGCGCGGUUGCGAAGGCGAGGACUGGGACAAGGACCCCGAGGGCCGGAUUGGUUGAAUGGGCACGAGGCACGAUGCUCCCGCCCCCUGGUUGUCAGGGCCCAGCCUAUCCGCGUCCAGGCGGGCCUCGGUCGCCAGGUGGUUGGGGUCGGGGGGGCCGGGGCAGGUGUGUGUGUCGGGAGGAAGGGGCUAGGCCCUCCCGGGACUCCCAAGGGAUUCCGCCGAAGCCCCUGCGGCUGGGAAUCGGGGGCCCUCCGGCUCGGGAGCCGAGAAGCCGCGCCUCCCUCCACAGCGCCUCUCCCCGCCGCCCCCGGCGCGCUCCCGCCCACCGCCUCCCGGGUCUGGAACGAGCGCGCGCGCCCCCGUCUCCCAUCGGCGGCGGAGGGGCGGGCCCGGCUCCCGGCGCCACCGCCCGCAGCCCCCUCCCCUCGCCCGCCCGCCGCACGCUGCAGCCCCGGCGCUCCCGCCCGGCCCCACCCCAGACGACCCAGCGUGGAGAGGCGGGCGGCCGGAGCCCGAGGUGCGGGAUGGACAAGAGGGACAAGGGCAGGUCAGGGGCGGCCACGCGGACGCCGGCUUCUCGCCCUCCAGGCCUUCCUACCCCCAGGCCCCCAGGGUCUCCCCGACCUCCUCCUCCAGUAACCAGCGCGGCUCUCCGCGUCCUGGGAGCAGCGGGAGCUGCGGGGCGAGGGCCCCUGGCUGAGCGAUCCGGGGGUAUCCGGGCAGCCGCUCUCCCGGAGGCUGGUCCCCGGGUGGGACCAACACAGAGCGCUGGGACAGGCCCCCGGAGUCCAGCCUCCAGGCCCCCAGCUGCUGGGAGAGGGGAGCGGGCCCUUGCCAAGACCUCAGGCCCAGGCUCUAUCUCCAGCCCAGGACGUGCCAGCGGGACCACCAGGCUAGGCUCUCUUGCACAGAAGGGGCUUCGUCCCCCAGCUGAGGAACCCGUGACCAGAGGAAAAGCCCCAGAAACCCCCAGAAGGAGCGCGCUGAGCGCUGGGGCACGGAGAGACUCUUCUGGGCCCUCCCCAGGCGCCCCUUCCCCAGCCACCUCCCGUCGGUCUCGGGCUGCAGGCGCUGAAGUCGGUCUCCCUCGGGCAGCUCCCAGUGCCCGGCCGCGGCCUCCAACCGAGGCUCCCAGGAAAUCAGUGAGCAGUGCCCCGCAGCAUGUUACCGCAGAGCCGAGCCCCGCCGCCAGGAGGCGACCCGGCGCCGGCGGAGGCCUCCAGAAGCCAGCCUCGCGCCCCUUGGGGUCCAGCGCCACUCCUCUGUCCUCUCCCGCCCGCUCUGGGGCCUCACCGGGUGGAACACCUCGGGCUCUGGGGCAUCCCUCGCCGCCCAAGACGAAAGGGGUGCAGGUUCUGCGCCCCCGCCAGUCCACACCCCCAAGGAAGGGCGCAACCCCUGCGCAGGGUCUUCCUCCUCCUUUAGCCACACCCUCUCCGCCGGGUUCGAGGGCACAACUGGCACCGCCUCCGCAUAUCACCGGCACUCCCCUGCCUGCCACGCUCCCUCCCUCUCCACCGACCACGCCCCCUUCUCAAUCCGCAAAUGGUCCUUUGGCCACGCCUCUUUCUCUAGCCCCUCCUCCCUCCGCUCCACUCCCUCCUCAGACCCUCCCCUCUCCGCCAGCCACACCUCCUUUGCAAGACCCACCCACACACCUGGGUACCUCCUUUUUGGAGGCGUCCGCCUCUCCCACGAACACUUUACUGGCUUCAUUCUCUCCAUCAUCGUCAACCCCUCUGCAGAGUAUGCCCCCAACCCAGGCUUCUCCAGCUUUGCCCCCUCUUCUGACUCCCCCCUCUUCCUUGGCCACAUCUCCUUUGUUGGCUCCAGGACCACCAAGCAAGACCCCACUCCAAGCCCCUCUUACUCAAGCAACGUCUCUGCUAAACCCGCCCUCUCCCCAAGCCACACCCCCUCUGCAGGGCCUUUCCACUUCGACUACUACUCCUCCACUGGCCAGUCCUUCCCUAUCUCCUCCCUCUCUUGAGGCCACACCCUAUACAGUGACCACGCCUCCCACACAGGACACCUCUCCGGCCACAUACCCUCUGCAAGCCUCUCCCUGUCCUCUGACCACCUUCUCUUCACAGGGUCCUCCUCCUCCUCUGUGCUCCCCGUAUCCCUUGGCCUCACCAUCUCUGCAGGCUGCACCCUCUGCCCUGGCCGUGCCCACUCCACAGACCCCACCUCCUCUGGCCACACCCCAUCUACAGGCCACUCCCUCUUCGGCCCCGCUCCCUACACAGGCCCCACCUUCUCUGGCCUCACCUCCUCCGCAGGCCCCACCCUCUUCCCUAACCACUGCUCCUCAACAAACUGCAGUGUCUCUGGCCACACCCCCUCUGCAGGCUAGUCCAUCCCCGAGCGUGCUCCCAGUUCAGGCCCCACUCUCUCCGGUAUCACCCCCUUUGCAUGACCCUUCCUCUCCCUUGGCCGUACCCCCUCCCCAGGCUCAACCUUCCCUGGCUUUGCCUCCUCUUCAGGCUCCUCCUUCUCCCCCUGCCUCACCCUCUCCGCGGGCCCCUCCCUCUCCUGUGACCCCGCCCUCCCCGCGGGCCCCACCCUCCCCUGUGGCCAUACCCUCUCCGCGGACCCCUUCCUCUCCCCUGGCCACACCGUCUUCGAAGGCUCCACCUUCCCUGGCCUUACCUCCUCUGCAGAUCCCGACUCUCCCUUUGCAGGCCACGCCCUCUCCCCUGGCCACGCCUCCUCAGGCUCCACCUUCCCUGGCCUUGCCUCCUCUACAGGCCUCUCCACGCCCUUUGCAGGCUCCUCCCUCCGUGGCCACGCCCCCUCCUCAGACUCCACCUUCCCUGGCUCUGCCCCCUCUGCAAGUCCCUCCCUCUCCCCCGGACUCACCCCCUCUGCAGGCCCCUCGCCGCCCCCCGACCCCAGGUCCGGAUGCCCCGAUCCCGGGCCCACGGCUGACCCUGGCGCUGGCCCCGGCUCCGCCGCCACCGCCCUCGCGCAGCCCGUCCAGCACGCUGAGUGGCCCGGAUCUGGCGGGCCACAGCAGCAGCGCCACCAGCACGCCGGAAGAGCUGCGCGGCUACGACAGUGGGCCCGAGGGCGGCGCCGCGGCCUCCCCGCCCGCCGACGCGGAGCUCGCCGCCUGCCACCCGGCCUCCUGGAGCCGAGGUCCCGCUCCGCCGCUGGCCGUCCGCAGCACCCCAGGCUCGGAGCCACCAGGUGGCGGGCAGAAGCUUCCAGAUAAAGCCAUUCAAGAUGAGGCAGCAGCAGAAGCAGGUGAGAGAAGAUGGCAGGCCUUGCAGAAGCAGGGGAGAGAGGAGUGAGACCAGAGAACCAAAGAACCAGCAGGAGAGGACCCGGAGGAAGAGCAAAGCCAGAGCUGGCUCCGUCCUGGAGAGGGACGUGUGUGUCUGGGCAGGCGCGGGUGUGGAUGGUUGGAUCUUAAGUGUGUUCUGAACGAAGACCAACCAGACCCUCCAUCUUCCUGAAGCCCCGAGACCCCACACUCAUCCAUUAUUAAUGGGGGAGCUGCCUCUCUGUGGGCCACACAGAACAUUUUCCGGAUUCUUCCGGGAAGAAGAAGGUGAUGGAAACACCUAGAACACUCUCGGGAAGCAUCUGCAGUCAGAGAAUCACAGAUGUGAUUCACAGUCAUUCACCGAUGUCAUGCAUGGGGAAACUGAGUCAGAGGGGGGCAGUGUCUUGUCUGAGCCCCGCAGCUUGCCUGGGUUAGAGGUGUUUCAGGCACAAGUCUCUGCCCCACAUCUGGAAUCAGGAGUCCGGAUCUCUUGGAGGGCUCUUGCCCCAUCUCUGGGCUUGACCCACCACUCUGUAAGCACAGAGAUCCUCGAGAAGUUCGAUGUGGCCAAGUAACAACUCCCCUCUCCCGCUUACUCCAAAGAGAAAACGACACAAGGAGUGAGCCGGAACUGCGGGGUCUAGGUAUACAUCAGGCUUUUUUUUUUUCUUCUGUAUUUUUGAUGCUCUGACAUCUAGCCACGCGGCCGGUCUUGGAGAGACUGCCCCGCCUGGGACUGGCUGAUUCCUAGACACAGCAAACCAGUAGUAGUGUGCCUUUCAGAUGCAAACCAGCCAACCCAGUGCCUACACCCACCUACUACAUCUCACUCAUGCCAUCCUGCCCAAUGUUCUCUCUGCCUUAAAUUGCCCCCAAGACAACGAGGGACCCCCUGUAGACUGCAGCUCCCUGAAACUGUUCAAAGGAACCAACCUUUAACUCAAACUCGACUACCCAGCCUUGCCCAUUCUUUUCUGUGGAGACCACAAUAAAGGCUCUGGCCCAUGCUUUGCCCCCUCACCCUCUGCCUCCGGACCCACUCUGAUGCUUCCCCAUGUUGCCAAGCAUGGUGGGGCGUGCCCCCUCCCUUUGGGAACUAUGAAUAAUAAACUCUUCUUUCAAAGGCA